AUUGAACGCUGGCGGAAUGCUUUACACAUGCAAGUCGAACGGUAGAGGGGGCAACCCCUUGAGAGUGGCGAACGGGUGAGUAAUAUAUCGGAACGUGCCCAGUCGUGGGGAUAACGUAGCGAAAGUUACGCUAAUACCGCAUACGAUCUAAGGAUGAAAGCGGGGGAUCGCAAGACCUCGCGCGAUUGGAGCGGCCGAUAUCAGAUUAGGUAGUUGGUGAGGUAAAGGCUCACCAAGCCAACGAUCUGUAGCUGGUCUGAGAGGACGACCAGCCACACUGGAACUGAGACACGGUCCAGACUCCUACGGGAGGCAGCAGUGGGGAAUUUUUGGACAAUGGACGCAAGUCUGAUCCAGCCAUUCCGCGUGCAGGAUGAAGGCCCUCGGUUGUAAACUGCUUUUGUACGGAACGAAAGGUUUCCAUUAUACUAGGAGCUCAUGACGGUACCGUAAGAAUAAGACACCGGCUAACUACGUGCCAGCAGCCGCGGUAAA
rnacentral:rRNA from 1 species